rnacentral:rRNA from 1 species
GUCAAUCGCAGCUUACCAUGCAGUCGAGCGCACUCUUCGGAGUGAGCGGCGGACGGGUUAGUAACGCGUGGGAACGUGCCCUUCUCUAAGGAAUAGCCACUGGAAACGGUGAGUAAUACCUUAUACGCCCUUCGGGGGAAAGAUUUAUCGGAGAAGGAUCGGCCCGCGUUAGAUUAGAUAGUUGGUGGGGUAAUGGCCUACCAAGUCUACGAUCUAUAGCUGGUUUUAGAGGAUGAUCAGCAACACUGGGACUGAGACACGGCCCAGACUCCUACGGGAGGCAGCAGUGGGGAAUCUUGGACAAUGGGCGCAAGCCUGAUCCAGCCAUGCCGCGUGAGUGAUGAAGGCCUUAGGGUCGUAAAGCUCUUUCGCCAGAGAUGAUAAUGACAGUAUCUGGUAAAGAAACCCCGGCUAACUCCGUGCCAGCAGCCGCGGUAAUACGGAGGGGGUUAGCGUUGUUCGGAAUUACUGGGCGUAAAGCGCACGUAGGCGGAUCAGAAAGUAUAGGGUGAAAUCCCAGGGCUCAACCCUGGAACUGCCUUGUAAACUCCUGGUCUUGAGUUCGAGAGAGGUGAGUGGAAUUCCGAGUGUAGAGGUGAAAUUCGUAGAUAUUCGGAGGAACACCAGUGGCGAAGGCGGCUCACUGGCUCGAUACUGACGCUGAGGUGCGAAAGUGUGGGGAGCAAACAGGAUUAGAUACCCUGGUAGUC